CCGGUAAUUAUGGAAAACCCAAUGCAAUGCCGCCUGAACCGCCUGAACCGCACAACUCUCGGCACAAUCGUUUGUUGGCAAGCUUCGGCGCGACGACCGCGUCGUGGUGUUGGUCCCAUCGCGGGCAAUAUAUACCACUCGAUGCCGUGACUACAGCCCAUACCUAAGCCAGGCCAUGACAUGCACGGACCCGCUGCUGCUCGGGUGACUCAGUAAUGCGAGCAUGUCUUGCACUCCUGGCGUCUUGAAGUCUGCCCCGCGUCCGCCAAUCGCAGAGCUGCAGCAGAGCGCGAGGAGGGGGACCUACUGGAGCAAAAGAGGUGGGGCUGUGCGGGCGGGCAGGUGUAGAGCACACUCCAGGCGACAUGCGCGGGCGCGUGCGAUGGCGAAAUGUGCCGCUCUUGUUACCUUGCUCUUGGCUCUUGGCCCCUUCCUUCUAUGCGCUCUUUGCCUGCCAUUUAAAGCUAGGUUAACGGGGUCGGCGGUCUGGCAUGAAUGGAUCUGCUCACCCCACCGCCGCGUGUCAAACCGCCGUGUGCCUGCAUGCGCCGCAGGUCAAUUCAGGAGGGCAUUUUCCAAUGUGAGCUCUGACGCUUCGUAGGGUCUAGGCUCGAUUUCACUGUGUUUUUCUUGCGCUACAAGCACAUCAUAUACGUGACCUCGUUUCGACGAAUGAGGACAUUCGCAGUGUG
rnacentral:lncRNA from 1 species